rnacentral:rRNA from 1 species
ACUCAUGUAGCCUUAAGAACCAAAUCCUCUCUAAUCUUGGAAGCUAAGCAGGGUCAGGCUUGGGUAGUACUUAGAUGGGAGACCAGCAAUGAACACUAGGUGCCAUGGGUU